rnacentral:rRNA from 1 species
AUUGAACGCUGGCGGCAGGCUUAACACAUGCAAGUCGAGCGGAGUGAUGGUGCUUGCACUAUCACUUAGCGGCGGACGGGUGAGUAAUGCUUAGGAAUCUGCCAUUUAGUGGGGGACAACAUUCCGAAAGGAAUGCUAAUACCGCAUACGUCCUACGGGAGAAAGCAGGGGAUCUUCGGACCUUGCGCUAAAUGAUGAGCCUAAGUCGGAUUAGCUAGUUGGUGGGGUAAAGGCCUACCAAGGCGACGAUCUGUAGCGGGUCUGAGAGGAUGAUCCGCCACGCUGGGACUGAGACACGGCCCAGACGCCUACGGGAGGCAGCAGUGGGGAAUAUUGGACAAUGGGCGGAAGCCUGAUCCAGCCAUGCCGCGUGUGUGAAGAAGGCCUUUUGGUUGUAAAGCACUUUAAGCGAGGAGGAGGCUACUAGUACUAAUACUACUGGAUAGUGGACGUUACUCGCAGAAUAAGCACCGGCUAACUCUGUGCCAGCAGCCGCGGUAAUAC